UGAAAUGGACCAGGACGCAGAGAUCCAUAC
rnacentral:piRNA from 1 species